rnacentral:rRNA from 1 species
AUUGAACGCUGGCGGCAUGCUUUACACAUGCAAGUCGAACGGUAACAGGCCGCAAGGUGCUGACGAGUGGCGAACGGGUGAGUAAUGCAUCGGAACGUGCCCAGUCGUGGGGGAUAACGCAGCGAAAGCUGCGCUAAUACCGCAUACGAUCUAUGGAUGAAAGCGGGGGACCGUAAGGCCUCGCGCGAUUGGAGCGGCCGAUGUCAGAUUAGGUAGUUGGUGGGGUAAAGGCUCACCAAGCCAACGAUCUGUAGCUGGUCUGAGAGGACGACCAGCCACACUGGAACUGAGACACGGUCCAGACUCCUACGGGAGGCAGCAGUGGGGAAUUUUGGACAAUGGGCGCAAGCCUGAUCCAGCAAUGCCGCGUGCAGGAAGAAGGCCUUCGGGUUGU